rnacentral:rRNA from 1 species
AUGAACUUCCAGGAUGUCUACACGCUCCAGCAAGCGCUCGACCGUGCCCCGCCGCCGCGUUUGAACACGGCACAAGACCGUGCGGAGCACGCCGAGCGGCAGCGCCGCCUCCUCGUCGUCCAGGAGGACGAGCGGAUCAUGGCGGAGUGGCGCAACCGCGACCCGGAGGACGUCGCCUACGAGCAGUCCUACUGGGCAAGGCGUCGCGAGGAGGACACGCGAAGGCGGCGCGAGGCGCGGUUGGACAGGCGUCGGCGCAAGGUGUUGGCGAACGCGCAGUCCGAUCUCGUUGAAGCAGGUGGGCAGUCGUUCUUCAUGCCGGAUGAUGAACGGUGGUUGGACAUCUGGCUGGAUACCUCGGACGACACCGCCGAGGAGGAUGACGAUAGUGAUGAUAGCGACUUAGACUAG